UCGUGGGGUGACUUGUCUGCUUAAUUGCGAUAACGAGCGAGACCUUACUCUGCUAAAUAGCCAGGCUAACUUUGGUUGGUCGCCGGCUUCUUAGAGAGACUAUCAACUCAAGUUGAUGGAAGUUUGAGGCAAUAACA
rnacentral:rRNA from 1 species